rnacentral:tRNA from 1 species
GCGCGAUUAGCUCAGUGGUAGAGCGCUUGCUUCACACGCAAGAAGCCACAGGUUCAAUCCCUGUAUCGCGCA